AUGUUGCACGAAAUCCAGAGAUUUGGCUGGCUGAAAUAUGUUGAAGAGGAUAACUUAGAGAUGAAGAUUACAAAUCUGAAACGCAAAUUUGAGAAGUUUGGAGAAACGAUUUCAGAGAGAGUGAGAAUUUUCUGGGUUGCGGGUUUAUGUUUAUAUAUGGAUGCAAGGUUCGGUAUUUGUAAAGAGCAACAUGAAGCAUGGUGUAAAGCUGGAAUAGUUAAAGAGAAAUGGUGCUUCAAGACUUAG